UUCAUAUAUUUUUGUCUUUUUUUUUUUUUUUUUUGAAAUAAUUUUCAUAUAUUUUAUACAUUCUUUUCUCUUUGAAGUUAAAGCAUCAAAUAAGCAUUCUAUCAAAAUUAAAGGUUAAAGACUUUAAAUUUCUAGAUCUAAGGUAGAGGAUAAAUUCUGAUAAGUGAACCAAUAGCCUCUUUCUCUUUCUUUUUUGUGUUUGCUGUUAUCAAUUUUUUCUUUCAAAUUUUUAUACCAUAUUCCUUGCUUGUACUCAUACAACAUUUUGUGGGUAAUUUUUUUUCAGUAAACUAUGGUUUGAAUUAUCCUGUUAGUUAUUACAAUGUUGCAUGUGACUAUUGUAUUUGAAUUGUGCACGACAAUAUCGAUUUUCAUCGUAUAACUAUUAAUUGAUUGUGUAGUUCCUGCAAAAUUUUGACAUAUGAUUUAAGGAUAGUAGAAAAGGAUUCGAUUUCAGAAUAAUCAAGUUGAAUUUUUGCCAGUCAGGUUAGAGACCUUAUGAGAUCUAUCCUUUUGUUGCAGUUUUUCAAGAAUCGGUAACGGUUCGGUUCCCAUGAGAUCUAGUUUUAUAGUGUGCGUACGGUCAUAUGGCACUGGGAAAGCUCAUAUGUGGCGUUCCAUGCCUGAUUGGUUGUGUUGAAGGAAUGAGAGUGAGAUGUGCGGAAAAAUUGUGAGAUGAGAAAAAAUUAUUUGUUAUUAGAAUUGAGAAAAUCAAAUAUUGUAAUUUAGGUGUCUGAUCUUUGCCAUGGCGGGUGCGCUCUCAUGGCAGGUCAAAAAGUGCAAUAAAAUUUAUAUCUUUUUGGUUUUGGGGGGAUGAGGAGAUGGCACGGGAUAUUAAUAUAUUAUUUUGGCCCGGCUCUCCCUAUUUCCCAUUUGUCUGCAUGUGUACUAUUUUCUUUUUCUAAUUCUUAUAUUUAUUUUCUGACAAUUAAUAUAAAUUAUAUCCUGACGUAAAUUAUAUAAUUUACGAUUCUAACCUUUGGUAUGGCGGGUGCCAUGGCAUAACAUGUCAAAAAAUGAAAUAAAGUUCACCCUAUUUUUAGUUUUUAAGGGAUUGGGAGAUGCGACGGGAUAUUGACAUACUAUUUCGACUCGGAUCUCCCUAUCUCCCAAUUGUCUACAUGCAUACUUUUUUAUUUUUCUUACUUCUAUAUAUUUUCUUACCAAUGGCAUAAAUUAUAUAUUUAGAUAAAUUAUAUAAUUUAUGUGUAUGACCUUUGCUAUGACGGGUGCGCUAACAUGGCAAGUCAGCCAUACAAAUGUAAUAAAAUUAACAUUUUUUUGGUUUUGAGGGGAUGGGUAGAUGACAAGGGAUAUUAAUGCAUUAUUUUUGCUUGGCUUUCUCUAUCUCCGAUUUUUGUGUAUGUAUACUUUUAACUCUUUCCUAACUUUUAUAUUUAUUUUUUGAUUAAUUGUCUAAAUUAUGUAUUUAUAUAAAUUAUAUAAUUUAAGUUUUUGACAUUUGUCAUGACAGAUGCACUCGCAUGGCAAGUCAAAAAGUGCAAUAAAAUUCACAUCUUUUUAUGUUUUGAGGGUAUUGGAAAAUGGCAUGGGAGAUUAAUAUAUUAUUUUUGCUAGGCUCUCCUAUCUUUCAUUUGUCUGCCUGUGUACUUUUGUCUCUUUCUUAGUUCUUAUAUUUAUUUUCUAAUCAAUAGUAUAAAUUAUUUACUUAGGUGAAUUAUGUAAUUUACGUGUUUGAUCUUUGCAAUGGUGGGUGUGCUUGCCUGGCAGGUCAAAAAAUGUAAUAAAACUCACGUUUUUCUCUUGGUUUUGGGGGGAUUGCGAGAUGGGACAGGGUAUUAAUAUAAAAAUUAUAUUAUUUAUGUGUUUGACCUUUGCCAUUCGCAUGGCAGGUCAAAAAGUGCAAUAAAAUUUAAGUUUUUUUAUUUUGGUUUUCGAGAAUGGAGAGAUGACACAGGAUAUUAGCUCUUUCUAUCUCUGAUUUUUCUGUCUGUGUACUUUUUUCUUUAUCCCAACUUUUAUUUUUAUUUUUUGACCAAAAGUAUAAAUUAUGUAUUUAUGUAAAUUAUAUAAUUUACGUGUUUGAUCUUUGCUAUGGUGGGUGUACUUGCAUGGCAGGUCAAAAAGUGCAAUAAAACUUACGUUCUUUUUGGUUUUGGGAGAAUUAGGAGAUCGGACGGGAUAUUAAUAUGUAAAUUGGCUUAGGUCUCCCAAUCUCCCAUUUGUUUGCUUAUGUACUUUUUUUUUCUUCCCUAUCUUUUAUGUUUAUUUUCUAACCAAUUGUAUAAAUUAUAUAUUUAUGUAAGUUAUAUAAUUUAUGUGUCUGACCUUCUCCAUAGCGGGUGCGCUCGUAUGGCAGGUCAUAAAGUGUAAUAAUAUCCACGUUUUUUCUUGGUAUUUCACAAAAUCUGAGUAUGAGUGAUUAUAAAACGACUGCAAAACAACAAAGUUGCUGGAUGACGUCACCCACCCAAAAAAAAAUUAAAUUUAAAUUAAAAUUGGGAGUUUACUGGAUUCUGCUGUAAUUUUUAAUGUAUCAGAUGUCUCUGGUCACUUCGCUUUGGUAGGGAGGGAAGGAGGUAGGUGCAAUUGCUCGACGUGAAGAUUUUAUAGCGGAGAAACAAUGGAACCUAUGUUCCUAAAGGCCAUGUCUUUUUGUUAGGGGACAACCGAAACAACAGCUGCGACUCCUAUGAUUGCAGGAAGAAUGGUAAAGGAAAAUGGAGGCGACAUCUGUUAAGAAGAAGAAAGAGUAAGAGCAGAAGUUUGCUUGAUAUGGUGUUUUCUUGGUUUCUUACAGAUGUUCUUGACGGAGAUCUUUACAAAGACAAGGUAGAUACAUAUAUAUGUAUGUAUACCACAGGUCAGAAAGAUUAUUAAGAGUUCCGAAUCAGUUUAGAGUUGCCCGAAAUCCUUCAUUCCUUCGUUGAUUGAAGAAAUACGUUUUGAUAGGAAUCAAUUUCUUAGGCAACACCAACUUGUGAAAUAGUGAACGUUGAAAUAUCUGAAUGUUAUAAGCCUCCCAAUAACUUGUUCUAUACAUUUACAGCGAAAAGUAAUAAUCCACAAAGUGUAUUGAUGAUCUCAACAGGCCAAGCAGACCUCAUCUCAUUGCUCAUGUUUACUGGGUAGAUAAAUAUAAGCCUGAUUGAUGCUCUAUGCUCUCGUCGAAGCCUAUUGCGGGUGAGGAUGACAUAGGAACUUGUAGGAAUUUGUUACUUGGAGAAGAUAAUAGGAAAAGCACGAACAAAAAAAGAAAUGUUUUUAUGAGUUUAUCUCAUUAACAUGACCACGAGUGUUCGAAUAUGGAAAGCAAUAGACCCGAAGCUCAAGCAGACAAAAUUGAAUAUAAUCAAGAAUGUGUGUCAACCGAUGUCUUAUGGGAGUAAAUCAGAUUGUGUGUCAACCGAUGUCUUAUAUAAGUGGGGAGUAAAUUAGAUUGUGCGGCUUAUUUAUCUGAAGAGAUUGAAACUCCGGUUGUUUCAAAUAUCUUAAGCAUAAUUUCUUCUUUCAAUUAAAUGAUUCCCGGGAAGCUGCAAAUUUAAGUUUUAUUAGAACAAGAGAGUGUCACCAUGAUAAAACUACGAAAUUGAUUUGGGGACUUUCAGGGACUGGCAAGACAAGGCAUACGCGAUCCAGAAGAGAAUUGGAGACAAAUACGUUUUACAAAAAGAGAGUGGAUUUGCUGUAAAUAUUCGCUCUGUUGUUGGAUUUCAAGGUGGCAAGGAGGACGUGAUAAUCAUAUCUUCUGAGAGAUCCAAUGGAACUAGAUCAAUUGGUUUUCUUUCGAAUAAUCAGAGUGUCAGUGUAGCUCUAACUCGUGCAAGGUAUCAUACCGAUCAGAAGAUAAUAAUUCAGAUCUAGCAUAUUUGGCUUUCCGUUUCUUUAUCACUAAAACCAAAGGGUAUUAUAUGCUUACAUGUACUGUAUGGAUGGAUAUUAGGGAAUGAGACAACUUUAAGUAAUAGAGUUCAUUAGGAGAAACUGAUAAAUGAUGUCAGACAGCAAGGAUGUCUGCAUAAUGCCAAUGAAGAUAAAAUCUUGUAUGAGGCACACUUGCUGUUGUGCUGGUUGAAAUCGAUCAAGUUGAUAUGGUGUUAAAAUCCCUUGGAUCUCUGAGCUUAAGGGAUAAUCACAGAGAAUCAAAAUCAACUCACAAAUGAGUGGUUAAAUAUGAGUGUUAUCUGAAAAUUUUGAUAAAAUCUUCUGAGAUAAAUCAUGUAGACUAGUUUGAUUUUUUUUUUUUAAUUUAUUAAUUUUAUAGUGAUUAUCAUCA